UACGUAGGGGGCUAGCGUUGUCCGGAAUCAUUGGGCGUAAAGAGCGUGUAGGCGGCCCGGUAAGUCCGCUGUAAAAGUCAAAGGCUCAACCUUUGAAUGUCAGUGGAUACUGCCGGGCUAGAGUCCGGAAGAGGCGAGUGGAACUCCUGGUGUAGCGGUGAAAUGCGCAGAUAUCAGGAGGAACACCGGUGGCGAAGGCGGGUCUCUGGGCCGAAAUUGACGCUGAGGAGCGAAAGCGUGGGGAGCAAACAGG
rnacentral:rRNA from 1 species